rnacentral:rRNA from 1 species
AACCAGCUCUUCAAGUGGUCGGGAUAAUUAUUGGGCUUAAAGUGUCCGUAGCCGGUUUAGAAAGUUCCUGGUAAAACCGGGUAGCUUAACUAUCCGUAUGCUAGGAAUACUACUAUACUAGAGGGCGGGAGAAGUCUGAGGUACUACAGGGGUAGGGGUGAAAUCUUAUAAUCCUUGUAGGACCACCAGUGGCGAAGGCGUCAGACUGGAACGCGCCUGACGGUGAGGGACGAAAGCCAGGGGAGCGAACCGGAUUAGAUACCCGGGGUAGUCCUGGCCGUAAACGAUGCAUACUAGGUGAUGGUACGGCCAGUGAGCCGUAUCAGUGCCGUAGGGAAACCGUUAAGUGUGCCGCCUGGGAAGUACGGUCGCAAGGCUAAAACUUAAAGGAAUUGGCGGGGGAGCACCACAAGGGGUGAAGGCCUAGCGGUUC